rnacentral:rRNA from 1 species
CAGUAGCGUAUAUUAAUGCUGUUGCGGUUAAAAAGCUCGUAGUUGGAUUUUGGAGCUCUUUUCUUGAACUUGUUGAUAGAAAACGUUUUUACUUGGGGAGCUGGUCCGGUGUAAACCGCGUACCGGUUCCCGGGCUCUUUUUGUCUGGAGGCCGGGGAGGAUGGGUUUCCGUUGAUUCGGGCCGUACCUCGAUUAAACCCGGUGUCUAGGACACUUACUUUGAACAAAUUAGAGUGUUUAAAGCAGGCAAACUCGCCUUGAAUACAUUAGCAUGGAAUAACCAUUAAGGACUUUGGUCCUAUUUUGUUGGUUUUAAGGACUAAAGUAAUGAUUAAUAGGGACGGUUGGGGUCAUCAGUAUUAAGCGGCCAGAGGUGAAAUUCUUAGACUCGCGUAAGACUAACUUCUGCGAAAGCAUUUGGCAAGCACGUUUUCAUUA